rnacentral:rRNA from 1 species
AGAACGAACGCUGGCGGCAGGCUUAACACAUGCAAGUCGAGCGCCCCGCAAGGGGAGCGGCAGACGGGUGAGUAACACGUGGGAAUCUACCCAUCCCUGCGGAACAACUCCGGGAAACUGGAGCUAAUACCGCAUACGCCCUWMGGGGGAAAGAUUUAUCGGGGAUGGAUGAGCCCGCGUUGGAUUAGCUAGUUGGUGGGGUAAAGGCCUACCAAGGCGACGAUCCAUAGCUGGUCUGAGAGGAUGAUCAGCCACAUUGGGACUGAGACACGGCCCAAACUCCUACGGGAGGCAGCAGUGGGGAAUAUUGGACAAUGGGCGCAAGCCUGAUCCAGCCAUGCCGCGUGAGUGAUGAAGGCCUUAGGGUUGUAAAGCUCUUUCACCGAUGAAGAUAAU